rnacentral:rRNA from 1 species
CCCAAGUUUAAGGUGGUAGGCUGAAAUCUUAGGUAAAUCCGGGGUUUCAAGGCCGAGAGCUGAUGACGAGUCGUCUUUUAGAUGACGAAGUGGUUGAUGCCAUGCUUCCAAGAAAAGCUUCUAAGCUUCAGGUAACCAGGAACCGUACCCCAAACCGACACAGGUGGUCGGGUAGAGAAUACCAAGGCGCUUGAGAGAACUCGGGUGAAGGAACUAGGCAAAAUGGCACCGUAACUUCGGGAGAAGGUGCGCCGGCUAGGGUGAAGGAUUUACUCCGUAAGCUCUGGCUGGUCGAAGAUACCAGGCCGCUGCGACUGUUUAUUAAAAACACAGCACUCUGCAAACACGAAAGUGGACGUAUAGGGUGUGACGCCUGCCCGGUGCCGGAAGGUUAAUUGAUGGGGUUAGCGCAAGCGAAGCUCUUGAUCGAAGCCCCGGUAAACGGCGGCCGUAACGAUAACGGUCCUAAGGUAGCGAAAUUCCUUGUCGGGUAAGUUCCGACCUGCACGAAUGGCGUAACGAUGGCGGCGCUGUCUCCACCCGAGACUCAGUGAAAUUGAAAUCGCUGUGAAGAUGCAGUGUAUCCGUGGCUAGACGGAAAGACCCCGUGAACCUUUACUGUAGCUUUGCACUGGACUUUGAGCCUGCUUGUGUAGGAUAGGUGGGAGGCUUUGAAGCGUGGACGCCAGUUCGCGUGGAGCCAUCCUUGAAAUACCACCCUGGCAUGCUUGAGGUUCUAACUCUGGUCCGUAAUCCGGAUCGAGGACAGUGUAUGGUGGGCAGUUUGACUGGGGCGGUCUCCUCCUAAAGAGUAACGGAGGAGUACGAAGGUGCGCUCAGACCGGUCGGAAAUCGGUCGCAGAGUAUAAAGGCAAAAGCGCGCUUGACUGCGAGACAGACACGUCGAGCAGGUACGAAAGUAGGUCUUAGUGAUCCGGUGGUUCUGUAUGGAAGGGCCAUCGCUCAACGGAUAAAAGGUACUCCGGGGAUAACAGGCUGAUACCGCCCGAGAGUUCAUAUCGACGGCGGUGUUUGGCACCUCGAUGUCGGCUCAUCACAUCCUGGGGCUGAAGCCGGUCCCAAGGGUAUGGCUGUUCGCCAUUUAAAGUGGUACGCGAGCUGGGUUUAGAACGUCGUGAGACAGUUCGGUCCCUAUCUGCCGUGGACGUUUGAGAUUUGAGAGGGGCUGCUCCUAGUACGAGAGGACCGGAGUGGACGAACCUCUGGUGUUCCGGUUGUCACGCCAGUGGCAUUGCCGGGUAGCUAUGUUCGGAAAAGAUAACCGCUGAAAGCAUCUAAGCGGGAAACUUGCCUCAAGAUGAGAUCUCACUGGGAACUUGAUUCCCCUGAAGGGCCGUCGAAGACUACGACGUUGAUAGGCUGGGUGUGUAAGCGUUGUGAGGCGUUGAGCUAACCAGUACUAAUUGCCCGUGAGGCUUGACC